GUGCUCGCUUCAGCAGCAAAUAUACUAAAAUUGGAAUGAUACAGAAGGUUAGCAUGGCUCCUGCGCAAGGAUGAUACACAAAUUCGUGAAGCAUUCCAUAUCUUU
ensembl:snRNA U6 U6 spliceosomal RNA